UGUGUGUGUUUAGUUUUUAGUGUGCAAAGCCAGAAAUUGACGGCGGAAAAGGAAAGGCAAAGAGAACUGAAACUGAAAAUUAGCGUGUGUAAUAUUGUGACUGGGCUAUGAGUAAGGGUUAAGAGAGGGGUAACGGUAAGACACACAUACACGGCGACAACAACAACGACGACGACUCCUCUAAUAACUGUUAACUUGUAUAACAACAACAAGAAGAAGAAGAGAAAGAGAGUCGAGGGUCGCCCCACAAAAUUGGCUACGUUGCCGGCCCACCACCCACACCUGCUGCCGUUGCCUGUGCCUGUGAUGGCUAAAACUGCUGCUGGCCAGUAUGUUCGCAAAAAACAAUUAAAUUGCUGCCGCAACAUUAAGAACAAUAACAACGCCUGACAUGGACACAAUAGGAACAAUAACAACAACAAGGAGAACAACAACUGGAAAAUUCGCUGCGCAUAGUUGUAAAUAGUUAAUAAAUCAAUAUGAAAACCAUAACGCCGGAUACAUCAACAUCAGCAGUGGCGCCGUCGUCAUCGCCGCAACAGCAGCA
rnacentral:sRNA from 1 species